GUUUAUACUUCCUCCGUUUCACAAUAUAAGUCAUUCUAGCAUUUCCCACAUUCAUAUUGAUGUAAUGAAUCUAGACAUAUAUAUCUAUCUAGAUUCAUUAACAUCAAUAUGAAUGUGGGAAAUGCUAGAAUGACUUACAUUGUGAAACGGAGGGAGUAUG
rnacentral:misc_RNA from 1 species